AGUGAACGCUGGCGGCAGGCCUAACACAUGCAAGUCGAACGGCAGCACAGUAAGAUUUCGCCCUUACGGGUGGCGAGGGGCGGACGGGUGAGGCAUACAUCGGAAACUACUAUUUCGGGGGGGACAACGUAGGGAAAGUUACGCUAAUACCGCAUAUGUUCAACGGGUGAAAGCAGUGGAGCAUGACACCUUGGCCGACUGAAUUAGCCGAAGCCGGAUUAGCUAGUUGGCUGGGUAAGGGCUCACCAAGGCGACGAUCCGUAGCUGGCCUGAGAGGAUGAUCAGCCACACUGGAACUGAGACACGGUCCAGACUCCUACGGGAGGCAGCAGUGGGGAAUCUUGCGCAAUGGGCGAAAGCCUGAUCCAGCCAUGCCGCGUGGGUGAAGAAGGCCUUCGGGUUGUAAAGCCCUUUUAUUAGGAAAGAACAGCAGCGGGUUUAUCCCCCGCUGUUCUGACGGUACCCAAAGAAUAAGCACCGGCUAACUUCGUG
rnacentral:rRNA from 1 species